GGGGAAUUUUCCGCAAUGGGCGAAAGCCUGACGGAGCAAUACCGCGUGAGGGAUGACUGCCUAUGGGUUGUAAACCUCUUUUUUCAGGGAGGAACAAAAUGACGUGUACCUGAAGAAUAAGCAUCGGCUAACUCCGUGCCAGCAGCCGCGGUAAGACGGAGGAUGCAAGUGUUAUCCGGAAUCACUGGGCGUAAAGCGUCCGUAGGCGGCCAUUCAAGUCUGCUGUCAAAAACUGGGGCUUAACCCCAGAGCGGCGGUGGAAACUGAACGGCUAGAGUGUGGUAGGGGCAGAGGGAAUUCCCAGUGUAGCGGUGAAAUGCGUAGGGAUCGGGAAGAACACCGGUGGCGAAAGCGCUCUACUGGACGGCAUCUGACACUCACAGGACGAAAGCUAGGGGAGCGAAUGGGAUUAGAUACCCCAGUAGUC
rnacentral:rRNA from 1 species